rnacentral:rRNA from 1 species
CAAUAGCGUAUAUUUAAGUUGCUGCAGUUAAAAAGCUCGUAGUUGGAUUUCGGGUGGGAAUGGCCGGUCCGCCGUUUCGGUGUGCACUUGCUACGCCCACCUUGCUGCCGGGGACGUGCUCUUGAGUUCACGCUCGGGACGCGGAGUCGGCGAGGUUACUUUGAGUAAAUUAGAGUGUUCAAAGCAGGCCUACGCUCUGAAUACAUUAGCAUGGAAUAACACGAUAGGACUCCGGCCUAUCUUGUUGGUCUGUAGGACCGGAGUAAUGAUUAAGAGGGACAGUCGGGGGCAUUCGUAUUUCAUUGUCAGAGGUGAAAUUCUUGGAUUUAUGAAAGACGAACUACUGCGAAAGCAUUUGCCAAGGAUGUUUUCAUUAA